AACGAACGCUGGCGGCAUGCCUAACACAUGCAAGUCGAACGAGACCUUCGGGUCUAGUGGCGCACGGGUGCGUAACGCGUGGGAACCUGCCCUUAGGUUCGGAAUAACUCCCCGAAAGGGGUGCUAAUACCGGAUAAUGUCUUCGGACCAAAGAUUUAUCGCCUUUGGAUGGGCCCGCGUUGGAUUAGCUAGUUGGUAGGGUAAAAGCCUACCAAGGCGACGAUCCAUAGCUGGUCUGAGAGGAUGAUCAGCCACACUGGGACUGAGACACGGCCCAGACCCCCACCGGAGGCAGCAGUGGGGAAUAUUGGACAAUGGGCGAAAGCCUGAUCCAGCAAUGCCGCGUGAGUGAUGAAGGCCUUAGGGUUGUAAAGCUCUUUUACCCGGGAUGAUAAUGACAGUACCGGGAGAAUAAGCGCCGGCUAACUCCGUG
rnacentral:rRNA from 1 species